GACGGAGGAUGCAAGCGUUAUCCGGAAUUAUUGGGCGUAAAGCGUCCGUAGGCGGUUUCAAAAGUCUGUUGUUAAAGCCCACAGCUCAACUGUGGAUCGGCAAUGGAAACUGUGAGACUAGAGAGUGGUAGGGGUAGAGGGAAUUCCUAGUGUAGCGGUGAAAUGCGUAGAUAUCAGGAGGAACACCUGCGGUGUAGACGGCUUUCUGGACCAUUACUGACACUGAGACACGAAAGCGUGGGUAGCAAACAGG
rnacentral:rRNA from 1 species